rnacentral:rRNA from 1 species
CCUACGGGCGGCAGCAGUGGGGAAUAUUGGACAAUGGGGGGAACCCUGAUCCAGCCAUGCCGCGUGUGUGAAGAAGGCCCUCGGGUUGUAAAGCACUUUCAGUGAGGAAGAACGCCUGGUGGUUAAUACCCAUCAGGAAAGACAUCACUCACAGAAGAAGCACCGGCUAACUCCGUGCCAGCAGCCGCGGUAAUACGGAGGGUGCGAGCGUUAAUCGGAAUUACUGGGCGUAAAGCGCGCGUAGGUGGCUUGAUAAGCCGGUUGUGAAAGCCCCGGGCUCAACCUGGGAACGGCAUCCGGAACUGUCAAGCUAGAGUGCCGGAGAGGAGGGUAGAAUUCCCGGUGUAGCGGUGAAAUGCGUAGAGAUCGGGAGGAAUACCAGUGGCGAAGGCGGCCUUCUGGACUGACACUGACACUGAGGUGCGAAAGCGUGGGUAGCAAACAGGAUUAGAUACCCUAGUAGUC